GACGAACGCUGGCGGCGCGCCUAACACAUGCAAGUCGAACGGAGCAAAGAGGAGCUUGCUUUUCUUUGCUUAGUGGCGAACGGGUGAGUAACGCGUGAGUAACCUGCCCUGGAGUGGGGGACAACAGUUGGAAACGACUGCUAAUACCGCAUAAGCCCACGGAGCCGCAUGGCUCUGAGGGAAAAGGAGAAAUUUGCUUCAGGAUGGACUCGCGUCCAAUUAGCUGGUUGGCGGGGCAAUGGCCCACCAAGGCUACGAUCAGUAGGGGUUCUGAGAGGAAGGUCCCCCACAUUGGUACUGAGACACGGACCAGACUCCUACGGGAGGCAGCAGUGAGGAAUAUUGGGUCAAAUGGGGCGCAGGCCUGAACCAGCCAAGUCGCGUGAGGGAAGACGGUCCUACGGAUUGUAAACCUCUUUUGUCGGGGAGUAACGUGCGGGACGCGUCCCGUAUUGAGAGUACCCGAAGAAAAAGCAAUCGGCUAACUCCGUGCCAGCAGCCGC
rnacentral:rRNA from 1 species